rnacentral:rRNA from 1 species
UACGUAGGGGGCAAGCGUUGUCCGGAAUUAUUGGGCGUAAAGCGCGCGCAGGCGGCUCUUUAAGUCUGGUGUUUAAUCCCGAGGCUCAACUUCGGGUCGCACUGGAAACUGGGGAGCUUGAGUGCAGAAGAGGAGAGUGGAAUUCCACGUGUAGCGGUGAAAUGCGUAGAUAUGUGGAGGAACACCAGUGGCGAAGGCGACUCUCUGGGCUGUAACUGACGCUGAGGCGCGAAAGCGUGGGGAGCGAACAGG